ACAAAUUUUCAUGAGUUUUUGAGCAUGUUUAGGCCCUCAAAAAUGCAAUUGUUCUGAGAGACAAAUAAUAAUAAUAAUUAAAGCUGCGAGCAGCGUUGGACGGGUCCUCGCAUCCUUGCUGGUCGGCGACCCCAGGCAUGUCCACCAGGCAAUGCUGCGACAAAGUGUAUUUAGGCUCAUGGAUGUAACGAGGACUGGAUUCUGAGCACUCAGGUCAAAUUUCAGACAGAUUGGAGCAUGUACAGACUAUUUUUGCAGCACUUUGUGUCCAUCCACCAGGUGGCACUAUGUCUGUGACUGUAUAGUGGUCUAUGAAACUCAUCAGGCCUGGACUCUGAUCAAACAUGUAAAGUUUGAGGUAGAUUACAGCAUGUACAGGGGAUUUACACAAGACGUCCUGCUUCAUGGCGUAACAUUAAAGUUCAGUUGGCCGCCAUGGCCAUGCCCUUUGAGUUUUGUGAACAAUUUUCGCAAAUAUGCAACCUGAAGGCGUUUCUUAUAUAUUUUCCCAAAUUCAGGUGUUUUGGAGUUAUUGCCAGUGACAAAUGAAUUGUUGAAAAUGACCAAAAACACCAAAAAUCUGACAUUUAAUUCAAAAUGGCUGACUUUCUGUUGUGUUUAGAGAAUGACUCCAAGAGACUUUUUUGCUUGCACUGAUGUGCUACAUAUGCAUGCCAAAUUUCAUAGUCAUAGGUGAAAGUCUGUGUGGAGGCUAUUUUUUAAAUUCUUUUAGGGGGCGCUAUGGUAGAUGCUGUGAAUGUAUUUUGGCCAAUAAAUGUGAUCAGGACAGGACUGUGUUUAAUCAUGUGAGGUCUGAGGUAGAUUGGAGCAUGCAGAGGAUAGUUAGGUAGCACUUGAUGUUUCAUGGCGAACCAUCAAAAUUCUGGAGGUCGCCAUGUCCACACCCUUUGACUCUGCAAGAAUCCUUUGAUAACUUUUGAUCAUAACAUCGUGUUGUAUAUCCUGGCAAAAUUUCAGCUCUCCAGACCUUAACCCCGAGGAGGAGUUCGCUCUCAAAAAUGAAAAAAAUACAGAAAUUUUAUCCACUUAAUUCAAAAUGGCGGACUUCCUGUUGAGUUUAGGGGAUGGCUCCAAGAGGCUUUUUUGUGUGUC